UGCAUAUCGAAUCCUUCCUCCCGCCAAACCUCCCCAAAGCCCUAAGUCUGCUGGUCUCUUUUUAAGUUCUUCCAACUCUCUGCUUCUCCUCAUUGUCUGCAACUCCCUCUUCCCUUCCCACCACCAACUCCCUCCAAUUCAUACUUUUCUCUCAAUCUCCACAUUCUUACGCAUCUCCUUUAUCCACUUCUCACUCUCUCAGGAUGAGUUUUGCCGCUUAUAGAAUGAUGCACUCCCCUACGGGCAUCGAGAAUUGUGAUUCAGGCUUUAUCACCCACUCUCGCGCCGAUUUCGUACCCCGCGUCACUUCUCACGCCGACGACCUUGAGUCCGAUUGGCCGCCGCGCCGAGAAAUUGGUCCGGUUCCGAAUCUCGUUGUCACCGCCGGUAAUGUCCUUGAGGUAUAUGUUGUCAGGGUUCAAGAAGAUGGUGGCAAAGAAUCAAGAAGCUCUGGAGAAGUCAGACGGGGUGGCAUUAUGGAUGGAGUCUCUGGGGCCUCGCUCGAGCUUGUUUGCCACUAUAGGUUGCACGGUAAUGUUGAGUCCAUGGUAAUUUUGUCUAGUAGAGGAGGUGAUGGCUCCAAGAAGAGAGAUUCGAUCAUAUUAGUCUUUAAAGAAGCAAAAAUUUCAGUGCUAGAGUUUGAUGAUUCUAUCCAUAGUCUCCGUACAAGCUCAAUGCAUUGCUUUGAGGGUCCACAAUGGCUUCAUUUGAAAAGAGGUCGUGAAUCAUUUGCAAGAGGUCCAGUGGUAAAGGUUGAUCCUCAAGGCAGGUGUGGAGGAGUUCUUGUUUAUGGUUUGCAAAUGAUAAUACUUAAGGCUUCUCAGGCUGGUUCCGGUUUGGUUGUGGAUGAUGAAGCUUGCGGUAACGUAGGUGCAAGUUCUGCUCGAGUUGAAUCGUCAUACCUAAUUAACCUAAGGGAUUUGGAUGUGAAGCAUGUAAAGGAUUUUGUAUUUGUACAUGGUUAUAUUGAACCUGUGAUGGUGAUCCUCCAUGAGCAGGAACUUACCUGGGCCGGUCGUGUUGCAUGGAAGCAUCACACGUGUAUGAUUUCUGCGCUAAGUAUUAGCACAACCUUGAAGCAGCAUCCUCUAAUAUGGUCUGCCAAUAACCUUCCUCACGAUGCUUACAAGCUACUUGCGGUGCCAUCACCAAUUGGUGGAGUACUUGUUGUCAGUGCAAAUAGUAUUCAUUAUCACAGUCAGUCAGCUUCAUGCAUGCUGGCUUUGAAUAAUUAUGCUGUUUCCCCUGAUAGCAGUCAAGAUAUGCCUAGAUCAAAUUUCAAUGUGGAAUUGGAUGCUGCCCAUGCUACAUGGUUGCUAAAUGAUGUGGCCUUGCUGUCAACCAAAACUGGGGAACUAUUAUUGCUGGCACUUGUCUAUGAUGGACGUGUUGUGCAGAGACUUGAUCUUUCGAAGUCUAAAGCUUCAGUACUUACAUCGGGCAUUGCAUCAAUUGGAAGUUCAUUAUUUUUUCUGGGCAGUCGAUUGGGAGAUAGUUUGCUUGUACAGUUUAGUUGUGGAGUGGGAUCCUCAGGAUUGGCAUCCAGUCUAAAGGACGAGGUUGGAGAUAUUGAAGUUGAUGCUCCAACAUCAAAGAGAAUGCGUAGAUCAUCUUCUGAUGCUCUACAAGAUAUGGUUGGAGGGGAUGAGCUAUCGUUGUACGGUGUUUCAAAUAAUACGGAAUCUGCUCAGAAAAACUUUUCUUUCGCUGUUAGAGACUCAUUGAUCAAUAUUGGGCCUCUGAAGGACUUUUCCUACGGUUUAAGAAUUAAUGCAGAUGCUAAUGCCACUGGAAUUGCCAAACAAAGCAAUUAUGAACUAGUUUGUUGUUCGGGUAAUGGUAAAAAUGGUGCAUUAUGCAUUCUUCGGCAGUCAAUUCGCCCUGAAAUGAUUACUGAGGUUGAGCUCCCAGGUUGUAAAGGCAUUUGGACUGUUUACCACAAAAAUACUCGUGGUAGUAGUGCUGAUUCUUCUAGAAUGCUUUCAGAUGAUGAUGAGUAUCAUGCAUAUUUGAUUAUAAGCCUUGAGGCUCGCACAAUGGUACUUGAAACUGGGGAUCUCCUAACAGAAGUCACUGAGAGUGUUGACUACUUUGUGCAAGGGAGAACAAUUGCUGCGGGCAACUUGUUUGGAAGGCGUCGAGUUAUCCAGGUCUAUGAAACUGGUGCACGAGUUUUGGAUGGGUCUUUUAUGACUCAAGAUUUGAACUUGGUAGUCCCUGGCAAUGAAUCUGGUAAUGGUUCUGAAGGUUGUACUGUGUUGUCUGCAUCUAUUAGUGAUCCAUAUGUCUUGCUGACUAUGACGGAUGGAAGUAUUCGAUUACUUGUUGGAGAUCCUUCUUCUUGCUCUGUUUCUGUAUCUGCACCAGCCGCCUUUGGGAGUUCAAAAAAGUGUGUAUCUUGUUGCACUCUUUACCAUGAUAAGGGCAUUGAGCCUUGGCUUCGGAUGACAAGUACAGAUGCAUGGCUUUCUACAGGAGUUGGGGAGACAAUUGAUGGUACUGAUGGCUCACUCCAAGAUCAGGGUGACAUAUAUUGUGUUGCUUGUUACGAUAGUGGGGACCUUGAAAUAUUUGAUGUGCCUAAUUUCACCAGCGUUUUCUAUGUGGAUAAAUUUGUUUCUGGAAAAUCACAUUUAGUUGAUUUUCAAAUAUCAGACUCGCAGAAAAGUUCUGAGAGGUUGGAUGGAAAUUCUCAGGAAUUGAAUAACAAUGGUAGGAAUGAAAGUUCACAAAAUAUGAAGGUCACUGAGGUAGCCAUGCAGAGGUGGUCAGGGCAGCAUAGCCGCCCAUUUCUUUUUGGGAUAUUGACAGACGGGACAAUUCUUUGUUACCAUGCUUAUUUAUUUGAGAGUUCAGACACUGCCUCUAAAAUUGAUGAUUCUGUUUCUAUGGAAAAUAGCUCAAGUAAUAUGAGUUCUUCUAGAUUAAGAAAUUUGAGAUUUCUUCGUGUCCCCUUGGACAUACAAGGAAGGGAUGAUAUGCCAAAUGGAGCAUUGUCCCGUAGAUUAUCUAUUUUCAAGAAUAUUUCUGGUUACCAGGGGUUAUUUCUUUGUGGGUCAAGACCUGCUUGGUUUAUGGUAUUUAGAGAACGCCUUCGAAUUCAUCCUCAGCUAUGUGAUGGACCCAUCGUUGCCUUUACAGUGCUACAUAAUGUCAACUGUAACCAUGGACUUAUAUAUGUCACGUCACAGGGUGUUUUAAAGAUUUGUCAACUUCCAUCUACAUCAAACUAUGAUAAUUACUGGCCGGUACAGAAAGUUCCAUUGAAAGGAACUCCACACCAGGUCACCUACUUUCACGAGAAGAAUCUGUACCCGGUUAUAAUUUCAGCACCUGUUCAUAAGCCGUUGAAUCAAGUGCUUUCAUCUAUGGUUGAUCAAGAUGCUGGUCACGUUGAGAAUCAUAACUUGAGUGCUGAUGAACUGCAGCAAACUUACUCAGUGGAAGAGUUUGAGAUUCGGAUUUUGGAACCAGAAAAGUCUGGUGGCCCUUGGCAAACUAGGGCUACAAUUGCUAUGCACAGUUCUGAAAACGCCCUUACCAUUCGCGUUGUUACACUUUUGAACACAACCACAAAAGAGAAUGAAACACUUUUAGCAGUUGGAACUGCAUAUGUGCAAGGGGAGGAUGUUGCUGCAAGAGGAAGAGUGCUUUUAUUUUCAGUUGGAAAAGAUGCUGAUAAUUCGCAGACCUUGGUUUCAGAGGUUUAUUCGAAAGAAUUGAAGGGUGCUAUUUCUGCUUUAGCCUCUCUGCAAGGUCAUCUAUUGAUAGCUUCUGGUCCUAAAAUUAUCUUACACAAGUGGACUGGUGCAGAGUUGAAUGGCAUUGCGUUUUACGACGUUCCACCCUUAUAUGUUGUGAGCUUGAACAUUGUCAAGAAUUUCAUACUUCUUGGUGAUAUACACAAGAGCAUUUACUUUCUGAGUUGGAAAGAACAGGGAGCUCAACUUAGCUUGUUGGCGAAGGAUUUUGGUUCUCUAGAUUGCUUUGCAACAGAAUUUCUGAUCGAUGGAAGCACUCUUAGUCUUACUGUCUCUGAUGAUCAAAAGAAUAUUCAGAUAUUUUAUUAUGCACCAAAGUCGACUGAGAGUUGGAAAGGGCAGAAGCUUCUAUCAAGAGCUGAAUUUCAUGUGGGUGCUCAUGUGACGAAGUUUCUACGGCUACAGAUGUUGUCGACCACUUCAGAUAGAGGAAGUAGUACAGUUUCUGACAAGACCAAUCGCUUCGCUUUGUUAUUUGGCACCCUUGAUGGAAGUAUUGGUUGUAUUGCACCUCUUGAUGAACUCACAUUUCGUAGACUGCAGUCAUUACAAAAGAAACUUGUUGAUGCCGUUCCCCAUGUCGGUGGUUUAAAUCCAAGGUCGUUUCGCCAGUUUCAUUCAAAUGGAAAGGUUCAUCGAAGUGGUCCAGACAGCAUUGUCGAUUGUGAAUUACUAUGCCACUACGAGAUGAUACCGUUGGAGGAGCAGCUUGAAAUUGCUCAACAAAUUGGGACGACUCGUUCGCAGAUUCUCUCAAACUUAAAUGACCUCUCUCUGGGAACAAGUUUCUUGUGAUUGCAGGAGACUCAUGGAUUGUAUAGACGUGUACUACAAUCAAAUAGACUGAGGAGAGGAAGUGAAAGAAAUUUACUAAAGACAUUGAAGGGAGUGGAGCUCUCUAACACCCUUAAUGGAGGAGAGGAAGGUGAACGUUUUCUGGAAGUGAAGUUAGGUGUGCAGCCUUUUUCCUCGUUUGAUAACUCACUUCACAGAUCACUAAUUUUAAUGAAAUUAAUCUCUACACCUUCACAGAAGGCUUAUGGAGUCGACUUUCAAACGGUACAUGUGAUGCAUAUGAUCAUUGAAUGAAGACCAAUGAAAAGGCAAGAGUCUAUUUAGGGAGCAUGACUACAGCAUGUAUUCGGUAAGGCAACUUUUGAGUCUGAAGAAAAAAUAAAUGGAACAAUGAGGAGACAAAUGUUGCCGCUUCUGGUAAGUUCAGAUUUGGAGGUCUGACAUCUAGAACUAAGUCCAGAGCUUCAGCCUGUGGGAUAAAGAACAAAAGGAGAAAAUCCAAUGUGAAGAACAAUAAAACUACAAUUGCCUCAAAUGGAAAAAGAGUUGAGGUUGAUAAAACUGCUAAAGGAGAAUGUUUCUAUUGUAAUGAAAAUGGACCAUGUAAAAUUAAUGAAAAAUUAAUGAUGCUGACGGGAUGAAUAAAGGGUUUGACAUGACAUGGAUAUGC